GUCGAGCGAACGGACGAGAAGCUUGCUUCUCUGAUGUUAGCGGCGGACGGGUGAGUAACACGUGGAUAACCUACCUAUAAGACUGGGAUAACUUCGGGAAACCGGAGCUAAUACCGGAUAAUAUUUUGAACCGCAUGGUUCAAAAGUGAAAGACGGUCUUGCUGUCACUUAUAGAUGGAUCCGCGCUGCAUUAGCUAGUUGGUAAGGUAACGGCUUACCAAGGCAACGAUGCAUAGCCGACCUGAGAGGGUGAUCGGCCACACUGGAACUGAGACACGGUCCAGACUCCUACGGGAGGCAGCAGUAGGGAAUCUUCCGCAAUGGGCGAAAGCCUGACGGAGCAACGCCGCGUGAGUGAUGAAGGUCUUCGGAUCGUAAAACUCUGUUAUUAGGGAAGAACAUAUGUGUAAGUAACUGUGCACAUCUUGACGGUACCUAAUCAGAAAGCCACGGCUAACUACGUGCCAGCAGCCGCGGUAAUACGUAGGUGGCAAGCGUUAUCCGGAAUUAUUGGGCGUAAAGCGCGCGUAGGCGGUUUUUUAAGUCUGAUGUGAAAGCCCACGGCUCAACCGUGGAGGGUCAUUGGAAACUGGAAAACUUGAGUGCAGAAGAGGAAAGUGGAAUUCCAUGUGUAGCGGUGAUAUGCGCAGAGAUAUGGAGGUACACCAGUGGCGAAGGCGACUUUCUGGUCUGUA
rnacentral:rRNA from 1 species